UUGGUCAGCCUAAAACUAUAGAAGGAUUCUUUUACCAUCUCCUCCAAAAAUAAUACUCCUCCUUUUAUAAUAUUGUAGUGAUGAUAUACCCUAUUCUUAAAAAAUCCAAUCCUCAUACCGUUUCUCUUUCUCAUUCUCAUUCUCAUCCUCAUCCCCUCUAUCAAUUCAAUUGGGAAAAAGCUUCUCCUCAGUAUAUAUAUCUGGUUAGGGAUUGCAGAUUUGACAAUUAUUGGACCUGAAGGUGAGGAAUUUCUGCGAAUUUGAUCGGUGCAGCUUGAAUUCAAAUACUUUACAAGUUCCACUUUUGGAAUUUGGUACUGCGGACUGGGCUUGGCUCUAGACUUCUGAUGUUUUCAGUUGCUGCCUUGGGUGCCUUAUUCUCGUGUUCCUUCUAGUUUGCUUCAGGAGUUAUCGGACUUGGCAAGCCAACAACAAAGGAUCUCGAAAGUCUCUAAGAUGGAAAGAAAUUAUAUGUUCUCGCGAACCGGAAAUGCUUGAAUGUGGCUAUUACGUCAUGAAGUACAUGUAUCAAAUAGUUUUACUUGGAUUACAAAGUAUUAGUAAUGUGGAAGAGGUACGUGUACAUGUAUUUUUGUUAUUAUUUUAUCGAUGUCUCAAUUGUUACUAUAUAUGCGCUAGCUUUUAUCUAAACUUUACUAAUUAAUACAUUAUUUUGUGGAAGUACAAAUAUUUUCUCCAAACCCGUACACUCAAGAGGAGAUCGAUGAUGUUCGAGAAAAAAUGGAGUAGAUAUUUUAUUAGUAGUUGUUUGUAGUCAUUUUCUAGUUUCCAGAGAUAGAAAUUAAACUAUAACAAAUUGUAGGUUAUUUUUUGGAAUACAAUUAUUUACAAUUGUUGAACCAACUUUCUUGUUUGAAUUAAUACAAAAAUAUAUUCGCAAUUCUGCAA